UAGAUAAGAAAGCAAACUCGAUGCCAUGACUAACAUGCGGGAGCAGCUGCACCCCUUGGUAAGAUGCUGUGUACGUGUGUGAAGAAGCUGAAGGAGAAGAUAAAGCAGGAAUUGGAAGAACAGCCAGUGACAAUGUCACACAAAGCCAGAGGUCACUGCGACCAAAAUGUACCCUUCCCUGCUGAGAAAAAUAAAAACUGGAAGGAGGAAAACAGAUUUUUAACAUUCUUCUCUGAAGGCUACGAAA